GCCAGUGUAGCAUAGUGGUUUGAGUGUUGAACUAUGACUCUGGAGACCAGGGUUCAACUCCCCACUCGAGCG